UACGAAGGGGGCUAGCGUUGCUCGGAAUCACUGGGCGUAAAGGGUGCGUAGGCGGGUCUUUAAGUCAGGGGUGAAAUCCUGGAGCUCAACUCCAGAACUGCCUUUGAUACUGAGGAUCUUGAGUCCGGGAGGAGGUGAGUGGAACUGCGAGUGUAGAGGUGAAAUUCGUAGAUAUUCGCAAGAACACCAGUGGCGAAGGCGGCUCACUGGCCCGGUACUGACGCUGAGGCACGAAAGCGAUGGGGAGCAAACAGGG
rnacentral:rRNA from 1 species